rnacentral:rRNA from 1 species
CUGCUGCCUUCCGUAGGAGUUUGGACCGUGUCUCAGUUCCAAUGUGGCCGUCCACCCUCUCAGGCCGGCUACUGAUCGUCGCCUUGGUGGGCCGUUACCCCGCCAACAAGCUAAUCAGACGCGGGUCCAUCUUACACCACCGGAGUUUUUCACACAAAUCCAUGCGGCUUCGUGCGCUUAUGCGGUAUUAGCACCUAUUUCUAAGUGUUAUCCCCCAGUGUAAGGCAGGUUACCCACGCGUUACUCACCCGUCCGCCACUAAGUA